rnacentral:rRNA from 1 species
UGCUCCAAUAGCGUAUGUCGAAUGAUGCGUUUAAAAAGUUCGUAGUUGGAUCUUAGUGUCGAUCGAGUAGUCUGUCGUCGGACGGUACUGCGCGAAUCAGACCUUCUGCCGCAAGUGGCAUGUUUACUUUGAAAAAAUUAGAGUGCUUAAAACAGGCUUCGGCCUGGACUUUUAUGCAUGGAAUGAUGGAAUAGGACCUCGGUUCUAUUUUGUUGGUUUCCGAAACUCGAGGUAAUGAUUAAUUGGGACGGACGGGGGCAUUUGUAUUGCGACGUGAGAGGUGAAAUUCUUAGAUCGUCGCAAGACAAACAAACGCGAAAGCAUUUGCCAAGAAUGUUUUCA